UACGUAGGGUGCAAGCGUUAAUCGGAAUUACUGGGCGUAAAGCGUGCGCAGGCGGUUGUGCAAGACCGAUGUGAAAUCCCCGGGCUCAACCUGGGAAUGGCAUUGGUGACUGCACGGCUAGAGUGUGUCAGAGGGGGGUAGAAUUCCACGUGUAGCAGUGAAAUGCGUAGAGAUGUGGAGGAAUACCGAUGGCGAAGGCAGCCCCCUGGGCCAAUACUGACGCUCAUGCACGAAAGCGUGGGGAGCAAACAGG
rnacentral:rRNA from 1 species